UACGUAGGGGGCAAGCGUUGUCCGGAAUCAUUGGGCGUAAAGCGCGUGUAGGCGGUUACGUAAGUCUGCUGUGAAAGUCGGAGGCUCAACCUUCGAAAGCCGGUGGAUACUGCGUGACUAGAGUACGGAAGAGGAGAGUGGAAUUCCUGGUGUAGCGGUGAAAUGCGCAGAUAUCAGGAGGAACACCAACGGCGAAGGCAGCUCUCUGGGACGUUACUGACGCUGAGACGCGACAGCGUGGGGAGCAAGCAGG
rnacentral:rRNA from 1 species